AGUCGUUGCCAAAAGUGUGGUCUCCUUUUUCCCCUAUAGUUGACGCCCUAGGAUUGUCCAGACCCUCCAGGCAUAUAGACCCCAAUACCCCCAACAAGCACACACACACAUACACACACAUACAACACAAUAUGAAGGUGAGAUCGUUGGCUCUGAUACUUGUUGUAAUCAUGACAAUUGAUAUUAUGGCAGCUUCUGGUAAGCCCCAGAGCUACUUCACAGGAUACAGGAAGCCUUCCAGGCAAAGAACCAACGCUGCUUAUCUUUCCCGAAACUUUGAUUAUCCUACUGAUAUGUCAGGUCCCAGGUAGGUUUGCAAGAAGGAGAGUCGUUCCGAAGAACAAUGACCAUGUCUCUUAAAGUUUCCCAUAAACGAUGCAUUCACAGAUGUAGUCUGGCCAGCCUAGGGGUAGUUUUACCUGU